UACAGAGGGUGCGAGCGUUAAUCGGAAUUACUGGGCGUAAAGCGCGCGUAGGCGGCUUUGCAAGUCGGGUGUGAAAUCCCCAGGCUUAACCUGGGAACUGCAUUCGAGACUGCAUUGCUAGAGUAUGGGAGAGGGAAGUGGAAUUUCCGGUGUAGCGGUGAAAUGCGUAGAUAUCGGAAGGAACAUCAGUGGCGAAAGCGACUUCCUGGACCAAUACUGACGCUGAGUGAGCGAAAGCCAGGGGAGCAAACGGG
rnacentral:rRNA from 1 species